GCCAAUGAAUGAAUAAUUAUCCAAAAGAAAGAAGAAAAAGUCAACAAAGAACAGUAAAUCUUUUGAAGCAAACAUCUUAAAGUUUAAAGAGAGACAAGAAUAACAACUAUGGACCAUUACAUGCCAUAAAAACGACUUACAGAAACCAGAAGAAGAUGGUUAUAUCCUUCAAAGGUACAGAAAUAUUCGCACGAUCGUGUCCUUCUUCCUUUUAAUUGAUGUCCACA
rnacentral:lncRNA from 1 species